rnacentral:rRNA from 1 species
AUUGAACGCUGGCGGCAGGCCUAACACAUGCAAGUCGAACGGUAACAGGCAGCAGCUUGCUGCUUUGCUGACGAGUGGCGGGCGGGUGAGUAAUGUCUGGGAAACUGCCUGAUGGAGGGGGAUAACUACUGGAAACGGUAGCUAAUACCGCAUAACGUCGCAAGACCAAAGAGGGGGACCUUCGGGCCUCUUGCCAUCGGAUGUGCCCAGCUGGGAUUCGCUUGUUGGUGGGGUAACGGCUCACCAAGGCGACGAUCUCUAGCUGGUCUGAGAGGAGGACCAGCCACACUGGAGGUGGGACACGGUCCAUGCUCCUACGGGACGCAGCAGUGUGGAAUAGUGGACAGUAGGCGCGAGCCUUAUGCAGUCGUGCCACGUGUAUGAAGGAGACGUUGGGGUUGUAAAGUACGUUCAGCGGGUAUGAAGGGAGUAAAGUUAAUACCUAUACUCAUUGACGGUACCCGCAGAAGAAGCACCGGCUAACUCCGUG